GCAAACUUGGUCAUUUAGAGGAAGUAAAAGUCGUAACAAGGUUUCCGUAGGUGAACCUGCGGAAGGAUCAUUAGAAAAAAGAUCGAUUCCGAUAAACAAUAUGGACGAUCAAAAUCCAUAUCCACCUUGUGUGCACUCAUCGACCGUUUGCUUUGGCAGGAACAAAAAAAGGAGCCUUCGAUCCUCUGAUCCGGAGGCGCCGAGGGAGGCAUUUCCCUCUCUCUUUCUGAAAAGAAGAGAGAUCGAUCUAGUCUCGGCCUGCCAGAGUUUUUUUUUCCGAACCCACGCUUCUUUUUGCUCUGGACUGAACCUUCGUCUCGAUUCUCUUGUGAAUCGGUCGAACCAGAUAACAACUUUCAACAACGGAUCUCUUGGCUCUCGCAUCGAUGAAGAACGCAGC
rnacentral:misc_RNA from 1 species